GUGCUCACUUCAGUAGCACAUAUACUAAAAUUCAAACAAUACAGAGAUUAGCAUGGCCCCUGCACAAGGAUGACAUGCAAAUUCAUGAAGUAUUACAUUUUGUA